rnacentral:rRNA from 1 species
UCAGGACGAACGCUGGCGGCGUGCUUAACACAUGCAAGUCGAGCGGAAAGGCCCUUCGGGGUACUCGAGCGGCGAACGGGUGAGUAACACGUGAGUAACCUGCCCCUGACUCUGGGAUAAGCCCGGGAAACUGGGUCUAAUACCGGAUACGACACCUCCUGGCAUCGGGUGGGUGUGGAAAGUUUUUUCGGUUGGGGAUGGACUCGCGGCCUAUCAGCUUGUUGGUGGGGUAAUGGCCUACCAAGGCGACGACGGGUAGCCGGCCUGAGAGGGCGACCGGCCACACUGGGACUGAGACACGGCCCAGACUCCUACGGGAGGCAGCAGUGGGGAAUAUUGCGCAAUGGGCGAAAGCCUGACGCAGCGACGCCGCGUGGGGGAUGACGGCCUUCGGGUUGUAAACCUCUUUCAGCAGGGACGAAGUUGACGUGUACCUGCAGAAGAAGCGCCGGCUAACUACGUGCCAGCAGCCGCGGUAAUACGUAGGGCGCAAGCGUUGUCCGGAAUUAUUGGGCGUAAAGAGCUCGUAGGUGGCUUGUCACGUCGGGUGUGAAAGCUUGGGGCUUAACUCCAGGUCUGCAUUCGAUACGGGCUGGCUAGAGGUAGGUAGGGGAGAACGGAAUUCCUGGUGUAGCGGUGAAAUGCGCAGAUAUCAGGAGGAACACCGGUGGCGAAGGCGGUUCUCUGGGCCUUACCUGAC